CAGUACUCAACGCCAUUGGAAAGGAGCGCUGCGAAUAACUGCAUGAUUUACGAUGCGGAAUCGCAGUAAAGUCCCACGUUUCUCAAACGGGAGGAAAGACACGACUCGACUUCAGAUGGCUUCAUGGUUAAAGCCUAACACCACACAAGAGGGAGGUGCAAAAGUACGGACAAAGUAUCACCGUAGCCUGAAUCAGGAGCUAGGUAUGGCUCAUACCUGGGUUAGGCAACUGCAGCCCCUCCAACCCUCCCGUCACUGAAUCUCCCACUGCGAGC